UACGUAGGGUGCAAGCGUUGUCCGGAAUUAUUGGGCGUAAAGAGCUCGUAGGCGGUCUGUCGCGUCUGCUGUGAAAACUCGGGGCUUAACCCCGGGCCUGCAGUGGGUACGGGCAGACUAGAGUGCGGUAGGGGAGACUGGAAUUCCCGGUGUAGUGGUGAAAUGCGUAGAUAUCGGGAGGAACACCAGUGGCGAAGGCGACUACCUGGCCUGUUCUUGACGCUGAGGCGCGAAAGCUAAGGGGAGCAAACGGGG
rnacentral:rRNA from 1 species